rnacentral:lncRNA from 1 species
AUGUCAGGCAGGGGGGAGAAAGACAGAGACGCUCAGCGGGCUCAGCCGAGAACUCGCUGCACCGAGACCCUCUCUAGUCCAACAUGGGGACCAGCCGGAGGAGCCCGCGAUGGAGGUGUUGGGUCGCGCCUCACGUUUCCCCGCCUCGGCGCCCUGCACCGUCCCCGCCCGGCCCCCCCUGGCAUUGGUUCGCGCCGCGGUCGGCGGUCCGGGGUCGCGCAUGCCCGGUGCACACAUCGCGUCGCAGCUGGCGGUCUCUGCUCGGUUCCUGGUGGUGCUGCUCGCCGUCAUGGCUCUCGCGGUGCGCGUUGUUUAUUGUGGCGCUUGAGGCUACAAGCCCAAGGUAAGGGGCGGCCGCCAGGUGGCGCCCGAGGGCAGGCUGUGGGGUGCGCCCGGGGGGGCGGUUGCGCGCGGGCGCUGACCCCCUUGCUCGGUUCUCAGUACCUCCAGCUCAAGGAGAAGCUGGAAGAUGAGUUCCCCGGAUGCCUAGACAUCGUGAGUCUCGGGCCGAGGCGGAGGGCGAGGAGGGCGGGGCCUCGUCUGUGCCCUGGGGCUCCGUGGCAGUGGGUUCGGCUGGCCGUGACAUGAGCAGGGGCUCUCACUGGCGCCUCCUGCACCCGGGGGAGGGAGGGUGUCCCCAAGAGGGCACGGAGCCCCCGCCCCACCCGCCCCGUCUCUCCUCAGUGUGGUGAGGGGACGCCCCAGUCCACCGGCUUCUUCGAAGUGACCGUAGCCGGGAAGCUGAUUCACUCCAAGAAGGUGCGGGUGUCGCCUCUGUGGGGACAGGGCGGGCCGGCGCGAUCUGGUGGGGCCCCGCCCACCUCUCCCUGUCUUUCCCCUUCCAGGGAGGCGAUGGCUUCGUGGACACGGACAGCAAGUUUCGGAAGCUGGUGGCUGCCAUCAAAGCCGCCUUGGCUCGGCGCUAGCGCGCCCUGAAGGCAGAGGUGAGGGUGUAGGCGGCUGGUGCGGCGGUCCGAGGGCUGCCCUGACAGCCUCCUGCUGGGGAAGGAGACGCUGCAAAGGCUUUGUCCCUGUGCCGGGAAACGGUUCCCAGGCCGUGGAGCUGAGGGUCAGUCAGAGCUCCCUGCGUGUUGGAGCUGGACCUCCUGUGCCUGACCUUGUGCAGUCACUCAUCACCCUCCGGGGCCCAUCCUUGCAGGGAUGCCCCAGGCUGACCCACAAGCUGCAGGACCUGCAGGGUGCCCUGCAGCCGCGGCUGAGCCUAGACCACCCCAGAGCAGGCUCCGAGCUCCGGCCUGUGGUCCUGAGUCAAUCUCAGGAGCAGCUCCCAGCACGGCCCAGUCCCAGGCCCUCUCCCCAGACAGUGAGGGGCGGUGCUGGCCUGGAUGUGCUCGCCAGCACUGCCGCUGUUCCACAUCCUCUCUGCCAGGUUUAAUUUCUUUCUUUUUUUUUUUUUGGCUUUUUUCCGGUACCAGGAAUCGAACUCACGACCUUGUGCUUGCCAGGCCGGCGCUGUGCCACUGAGCUAAAUCCCCAGCCCCUUUGCCAGGUUUAAGUUUGAGUGCAGAAGCAUCCACUUCUGGGUCACUCGGACUAACGGUGCCUUCCAGGGCCCCCUGAGUUCGGUUGUGUUUGGCUGCCUUUGUUCCCUGUGAGCCCCAAGUCCGGAAAGGGCGUACGUACCAGCCAGGUCCUGGGUUCUGCGCUCUGACUCCCCAGAUUCUAGAGCCGCUUCCUGCCAUUUCUUAGAUCUCUGGAUGGUCUGCAGCCCUUGGCCUUGGUCUAGAAUCAAAUGUCCCAGUCCACAUACUGGGCACUGCUGUUCCCAGCAUGCUUUGUACCAGAACAUUAGUUUCCAGUGCUUCGAGCUCAAAUUCUAUUUCCUAGUUUUUUAUUCCUUUUUGUGGCACUGGGGAUUGAACCCAGGGCCUCUUUUUGUUUUUUGGAAUCAAGGUCUCGCUGUAUAGUUCAGGCUGCCCUUGAACUUGCUGUGUAGCCUAGGCUGGCCUUGAACUUGUAGCAAUCCUCCUGCCUCAGCCUCCCAGUGCUGGGGUUAGACCACCAUGCCUGACAAACUGAGAGCCUUUGUACUGAGCCACCCCUACCCCUUGUUUCAAGGAAGGGUCUUGUGCCAGGCAUGGCGGCGACACACACCUGUGAUCCCAGCACGAGGCUUAGCCAGGAGGCUCACUGAGGGUUUGAGGCCAGCCUGGACUAUAGGGCAGCCCUGUCUCAAAAAAAAAACCAAAAACCAAAAACCAAACCAACAAAGGUGCGUUUUCCUACAAUUGUUGGGCUUGCUUUUUUACCUCUGCCACCGAGCUGCCGCCACGCCCCCCGGUGGCCUGCUUUGUGGCUGCACUUUCUGGGUGUCCCGGGUUUGGGAGCAAUUGGCUAGUGGGACUGGGCACUGCCAGGCUGUCUGCUCAGGUUAGCCUGUCACGUGGGCAUGGGGGCGGUGCCAGUGAGGGCAAGGGCGGCAGGAGCGCCGUGCGGCAGCUGUGGAGCUGGGUGUCCGCUGCUUGGGGCUUGGCCAUGAGGACAGCUGACCGCCCCUGUGGCUGCCCUAUCCCGCCCCUGACGGUGCAGGCUGCUGGUGUGGCUGGAGUGCUCAGGACACCCAGACCCAGGGGGACAUCCCAGGCAGCCCCCAGGUCCCCGAGGGCCUGAAGGCGGGGAGCCGUGCGGUGGGUCUCCCUGGGCCCUGCCGCAGCGCUGGCCAGGCCCCUCCUCUCCUGAGAGCUCGCUCAGGCUCUGGUGACCUGGGAGCCAGAUCUUGGCCUGCCUUGCCUUGCAGCCCAGUUUCUGGGCCUGCGUUUCCCUGUCUGCUGCUCCCUGCACAUCUUUUUUUGUUCUGUGCUGGAGGCUGAGCUGUGUGACGUCCCCAGCCCUUCUGGGUUGGAUGCAGGGUCUUGCUAAGUGGCUAAGUUUCCCCAGCUGAGUUCACUUGUGAUCCUCCUGCCUCAGCCUCCCAAAAAAAGUGUUGGGAUUAUAGGUGUGCACCACCCCAGCUGCUACUUCUCCUUUUUGACACGGCCCCACCCUGCCCUCUGCUCACGCCCACGGUCCCCUCACUCCCUUCUCUCUCCCCAGCUGAGGACCGUGACCCCGCCGCGCCUGGCCAACGCUUCAUGACGGGCAGGACCGAAAUGUCUCCGGAUGCCUGGUCUUUCCCCGAUGCUCUUGCGGCCGCCGGGUGGGGUGGAGGUCGACGCCCGUCUCUGCCUCUGUGGGAUGUGUGUCUUCCGGGAUCUGCCCCGGCACACUGCCCCAUCCCCGUCCCCAUCCCCUGCCCUGCCCCCCAUGCCUUGGGCCCCGUCUGAAUUGGCCCCAUGCUCCCCUCCAGGGAGCUGAGGGUCAGGGUGGGGACAGCGCCUCCAGCAACAGGCAGAGGCUCACAGUGAAGAAAUGGUUCACAUAAUAAACACUGGAUGAGUUCAGGACCUGUGUCGAGUGUCCACUCCCCACGCCUGUAGCCUCUUGGUUCCCGGUCUCCGUUGCUAAGUAGACCCUUGAUAGCAUUUCUGAAUUCUGCAGAGGGAACAGGAGCUUCCUUUGUACAGGUCACAGGUUUUUUUUUUUCUUUUUUUAAAGAUGGGGACUCACGAUGCACUUCAGGCCAGCUCCACACUCAUGGGGAUCCUCCUGCCUCAGCCUCCCAAGUGUGGGGAUUACAGGCGAGGGCCACACGCCAGAUUUAUGAUUCAUAAGUCAGCGAUCUUCAGAAUGAAUUGGAGCCUGAACACCUUUCUGUGGGGCUUUGGAGGAGGCUCGUGGGGGAGACCGAGUUUGCCAAAGAGGAAAAAGGGUUGCUCUCUGCUCCCUCUGCUCCCGUGCACCCCAGCCCUGGUCCCCUCUGGGUGUCUGGGUCUGUCCCUGCCGCAGUGGGCGAGUGCAGGCACGGUUCUUUUCUCCAGGCUGCCUGUCCGUGGCCCGCCCCUCUGGUCAGAUUCUGCUCUUUGCGGGCAGGGUCAGGCUUUAGCCUGCUGCCCCCUACGCUAAACCUCACCGGGACCGCGCCGGGCCCAAGGUGGCCACAGGGGGGCGACAGAGGGCUGCUGCUGGGCAGUGCCGCUUCCGGGUUGGUUAAGGCUGUUUACCUGGUGGCUUCCCGCACCUUUUUUUUUUUUUUUUUUUUUUUAAACUUUUUAAGGCCAGCCGGGGGUACAUGGUGGGUUCAGUUCCAGCCCGAGCUACAUAUAGAGACCUUGUUUCAAAAAACAAACAAAAAACGCUAUUUUUAAGAAGUACACUUUAUUUUCAAGACUGGCUUUAGGUUACAGAAACAUCAGGGGGGAGUAGCAUUCCCACAUCACUCAUGCAGGUAUUAAUGUCUUACCUCGGGCUGGUGCUCCUGUUACAGUGGAUGAGCCCGCACUGACCAUUUACUGCCCGAAGUCUACACUGUAUUCAGGUUUUUUUUUUUUUGGUACUGGGAGUGGAACUCAUGACCUCAGGCUUGCCAGGCAAGCGCUUAUGCCGCUGAGCUAUAUCCCUGGCUGUAUUAAGAUUUCUGCAGGGUGUUUUUUUUGAGACUGGGUCUGCCUAUGUGGCUCGGUCUAGUUUCAAGCUCGUGAUCUUCCUGCCUCAGCCUCCAAAUACUGGGACUGCAGACCCGCACCACCGCAUCCGGCUCACUUUUGUGCAGUCGUUUUUCUGGCCGAGGGUCCCACCCGGAAUUCGAGUGUGAGCUACACUUAGUGGUCGUUUCUCCCAGGGCAUCCUUGACUACGGUUUUGAAGAUUUUCCCCCGUUUUUGACGCCCUCAGUAGUUUUGAAGAGCGCUGCUUGGGUCUUGUGUGGCAUUCCCUUCUGUGGGACUUUGUCGGGUGUUUUCCUUAAGAUUAGACUGAGAUUAUGGGUUUCUGGGAGGAAAAGGACCGAAGUCAAGGGUCACUCCCUCUCAUUUCACUGAUGCCUGUGUGCUUGUGUGAUCACCUGGGUGGGAAAGUGUCCCGUUGGGUUCCUUUACUGAGGUUACUGUGUGUGUGUGUGUUGGAGGGGGUGGCUGCUGGGGAUUGGGGCCAGGCCCCCAUGUGUGCCGGUGCUGGACAGAGCCCGCCCGCUGAUGCACACCUGUAAUCCCCACACUUGGGAGGCUGAGGCAGGAGGAGCACUGUGAGGUCCACCUGGGCUACAC